GCUAUUAGGUUGGUGCAAAAGUAAUCGCGGUUUUUGUCAUUACUUUAAUUACUUUACGUUUCAUUAAUGACAAAAACCGCAAUUACUUUUGCACCAACCUAAUACUUGCUA
ensembl:miRNA MIR548H4 microRNA 548h-4